rnacentral:rRNA from 1 species
ACCGGCAGCUCAAGUGGUGGCCAUUAUUAUUGGGCCUAAAGCGAGCGCAGGCGGUUUCUUAAGUCUGAUGUGAAAGCCUUCGGCUCAACCGAAGAAGUGCAUCGGAAACUGGGAAACUUGAGUGCAGAAGAGGACAGUGGAACUCCAUGUGUAGCGGUGAAAUGCGUAGAUAUAUGGAAGAACACCAGUGGCGAAGGCGCCUAACUGGAACGAACCUGACGGUGAGUAACGAAAGCCAGGGGCGCGAACCG